rnacentral:misc_RNA from 1 species
AAGAGACGUUGCCCUUCGGGUAUACUCCCACCCUUUUGUUAUUAUACCUUUGUUGCUUUGGCGGGCCCCGUCUCGGACCACCGGCUUCUGCUGGUCAGUGCCGCAAGAGGACCUAAAACUCUGUUUGUUAAUAUUGUCUGAGUACUAUAUAAUAGUUA